UACGGGGGGGGCAAGCGUUGUUCGGAAUUACUGGGCGUAAAGGGCGCGUAGGCGGUCAGCACAAGUCAGUUGUGAAAUCUCCGGGCUUAACUCGGAAAGGUCAACUGAUACUGUGCGACUAGAGUGCAGAAGGGGCAACUGGAAUUCUCGGUGUAGCGGUGAAAUGCGUAGAUAUCGAGAGGAACACCUGCGGCGAAGGCGGGUUGCUGGGCUGACACUGACGCUGAUGCGCGAAAGCCAGGGGAGCGAACGGG
rnacentral:rRNA from 1 species